rnacentral:rRNA from 1 species
GAGGAAGGGAAAGUCGUAACAAGGUUUCCGUAGGUGAACCUGCGGAAGGAUCAUUG